rnacentral:rRNA from 1 species
UACGUAGGGGGCAAGCGUUGUCCGGAAUCAUUGGGCGUAAAGAGCGCGUAGGCGGUCCGGUAAGUCAGCUGUGAAAGUCAGGGGCUCAACCCUUGAAAGCCGGUUGAUACUGUCGGGCUAGAGUCCGGAAGAGGCGAGUGGAAUUCCCGGUGUAGCGGUGAAAUGCGCAGAUAUCGGGAGGAACACCAAUGGCGAAGGCAGCUCGCUGGGACGGUACUGACGCUGAGGCGCGAAAGCGUGGGGAGCGAACAGG